rnacentral:rRNA from 1 species
AGUGAACGCUGGCGGUAGGCCUAACACAUGCAAGUCGAACGGCAGCACAGUAAGAGCUUGCUCUUACGGGUGGCGAGUGGCGGACGGGUGAGGAAUACAUCGGAAUCUACUUUUUCGUGGGGGAUAACGUAGGGAAACUUACGCUAAUACCGCAUACGACCUACGGGUGAAAGCAGGGGAUCUUCGGACCUUGCGCGAUUGAAUGAGCCGAUGUCGGAUUAGCUAGUUGGCGGGGUAAAGGCCCACCAAGGCGACGAUCCGUAGCUGGUCUGAGAGGAUGAUCAGCCACACUGGAACUGAGACACGGUCCACACUCCUACGGGAGGCAGCAGUGGGGAAUAUUGGACAAUGGGCGCAAGCCUGAUCCAGCCAUACCGCGUGGGUGAAGAAGGCCUUCGGGUUGUAAAGCCCUUUUGUUGGGAAAGAAAAGCAGCGGGUUAAUACCCCGCUGUUCUGACGGUACCCAAAGAAUAAGCACCGGCUAACUUCGUG